GGCGUGUACUGCUUGGCUGGGCCUUACUUCUUGGUGAGCCGGCGUGCCCUUUAUUGGUGUGCGUCGGGGAACCAGGACUUUUACCUUGAGAAAAUUAGAGUGUUCAAAGCAGGCCUAUGCCUGAAUACAUUAGCAUGGAAUAAUAGAAUAGGACGUGCGGUUCUAUUUUGUUGGUUUCUAGAGUCGCCGUAAUGAUUAAUAGGGACAGUUGGGGGCAUUGGUAUUGAGUCGCUAGAGGUGAAAUUCUUGGAUUGACUCAAGACCGACUAUUGCGAAAGCAUUUGCCAAGGAUGUUUUCAUUAAUCAAGAACGAAAGUUAGAGGUUCGAAGGCGAUCAGAUACCGCCCUAGUUCUAACCAUAAACGAUGCCAGCUAGCGAUCCGCCGAAGUUCCUCCGAUGACUCGGCGGGCAGCUUCCGGGAAACCAAAGCUUUUGGGUUCCGGGGGAAGUAUGGUUGCAAAGCUGAAACUUAAAGGAAUUGACGGAAGGGCACCACCAGGUGUGGAGCCUGCGGCUUAAUUUGACUCAACACGGGGAAACUCACCAGGUCCAGACAUAACUAGGAUUGACAGAUUGAUAGCUCUUUCAUGAUUUUAUGGGUGGUGGUGCAUGGCCGUUCUUAGUUGGUGGAGUGAUUUGUCUGGUUAAUUCCGAUAACGAACGAGACCUUAACCUGCUAAAUAGCCAGGCCGGCUUCGGCUGGUCUCUGGCUUCUUAGAGGGACUGUCAG
rnacentral:rRNA from 1 species